GUUUGUUCAUUAGAUAAGGGUCUGAAAAAAGAACACCUUCUAUAUUUAAGUAUUUAGGAAUGUUUUUAAUAUUCCUAAAGAAACUCUCACCUCUUGAAACCCAGGGAUGAACAAAGAAAUAUGAUGACUGACUGCGUUCAUGUUAAACAAAAUGGAGAAGACUUUCGAUGUAUUGCUGGCUUUUAGUACAGAAUGAGUUUAUCUACAGAAAAUGCCUGUCUCCCUAAGAAAACCGUUUCCUUUUCAUCCCUAUAAAAUAAACUGCUGAGGCUGAUGACCCAACAUCUCAUCAGUUGUAUCUCUCCUCAACAAACAACUUUAUUUGGAUGGUGUCCCCAGAAAAGACUGAACUGGGGGAAGUGCUGGAUCCAAGCUAAAAGGAUUUCUAGCCUUUGUAUGAAAGACCUGGGGGAUUCCAAGCUGCAAAGCAGGUGCAGCUUGUCCCUUAAGAACCUACAGCUUGCUUGUAUCAUCA